rnacentral:rRNA from 1 species
AUAAUCAUUAGCCUCUUAAUUAGGGGAUGGAAUGAAUGGUUUAACCUAAACAUAUUUUAUUUAGUUUAUUUAAUUGAAAUUUGAGUAUUAGUGAAAAUACUUGUUUAGUUCUAUAAGACGAUAAGACCCUAUAGAUCUUAAUCUAUUACUAAAAAUGCUAAUUUGGGGGAGUUAGCAUUUUUAGGGAUAGUUUUAGCUGGGGCAGCCAAAGAAUAUUAAAAACUUCUUUAAGAUUGACAAUAAAUUAAAAAUAUUUAAUCUUAAGUAAUAAACAAAAAAGUUACCUUAGGGAUAACAGCGUAAUUAAUUUAGAGAGCCCAUAUCGAUAAAUUGGAUUGCGACCUCGAUGUUGAAUUAAGAUUUCUAGUUAGGGCAGCUUUUAACUAAGAUGGUUUGUUCAACCAUUAAAUUCUUACAUGAUUUGAGUUCAAACCGGUGUGA